CGAUAAAUGCGAGAAUAUUGACUUCCAUAACCUCUUUAUUUUUUUUGCACAAUAACUCGGGAUGUAAUCCCAUGGAGAGGAAAAAAGGGGUAUCCUGUAAAUUCAAGGGUGAGACUUGCAUUCUGAUAAUACUGAAUCAAUUCAAUAUUAUUAAUAUCGGAUCUAUGAAAUCAAUUCAUGGUUGAGAGUGGAAAAGUAUAACAUAGGAAGAUCCUCUAUCCAUACUAAGACCAAAAUGAUUAAGACCCAAAUGGGUUUUUGAUUGGAUUUGGAUUAGGAAUUCCCUCUUUUUUUAAUCCUUUUCUAUUUUUUAUUUUCUAGAUCUAUAACCCACGAUCUUUCUUAAUCUUAUCCAAUUUCCCUUCCUUUUUCUAAUAGUUAUACAUACAAUUAUGUAUGUAUGUAUUAUAUGACCAACUUUCUAUAGGUCACAUAGACAUCCAAAUAAGCAGUAGAAGUGAGAUGGAGAAAAGAGGUCUUAACUAAAAAAAGGAAAAUGAAUAUAAUUUAUGUAUGGAUCCCGGUAAAAUACCGGUACUCUAUUCCAUAAGAUAAGAGUCGAAUAGGAAGUUAAGAUGAGGAUGGUAUCAUCAUAAAGGUAGAGUUAUAUCCUAAAUUCUACUAAUCUGCAUAUCAUAUGCGUGUCUUUCUUUAUCGAAUCGGAAGUAGUGAAAAAAAUUCCUAUACACCUCCCCUACCUCUUUAAUGAGAGAUGCAAAAUAAAAAAGUGAAGUAAGGGCGCCCCAUUGGUAUUUGAUCUUGCCCCCGCUUUUUUCAUGGAAAAUGGAAGGGUUAAUUUCUCCAUUCAUUGAACCCUAGUUCGGGACUGACGGGGCUCGAACCUGCAGCUUCCGCCUUGACAGGGCGGUGCUCUGACCAAUUGAACUACAAUCCCCGCGGGGUGUAUGGCAUACCUAUCCUAUCCUUAAAUAGAAGAAUAAGAAGAUUCGAUUCGUCUGUCGUACUCUAAGAAAUAGACGAAUCAUAUACUACAUACCCACAUAUUAUAUGUGGGUAUUGUGAGAGUGACAUAACUAAUAUGUCGUGAUUUUUUAUCACUAAAAAUGAAGGGUAAUCCACCUUUCAAUAAUAAAAACUCUUUUGUUUGUAAGAAAGGAAUGAGAGAGAUAUGGAUUAGAAAUUGAAUUUCCCCUUUUUUUCUUUCUCUUUUAUUUCUAUAGAUCAGACAUUUGUUUAUGGAAGAAAAAUAAAAAGAUUUAGUUCAUAUUCACGAAGCCCCAGAUUUUUGGGCCGAGCUGGAUUUGAACCAGCGUAGACAUUUUGUCAACGAAUUUACAGUCCGUCCCCAUUAACCGCUCGGGCAUCAACCCAGGAAGAAUUUUUUCUAGGGUUUUUGAUAAUCUAUGAUUAAUCUCCUUUCAUAAUACUCCCUACCCCCAGGGGAAGUCGAAUCCCCGCUGCCUCCUUGAAAGAGAGAUGUCCUGAACCACUAGACGAUAGGGGCAUCACUAGACGAUAGGGCCAUAUAUAACCGCUCGUGAUUAUACUAUAAUCAUAGUAUGAGCAAAUUUUUUUGAAUUGUCAAUAUACUCGAAGAGUAUAACAAGAUCCAAAGUAAAGAAUUUUUGCUACUUUGCUGUUAUGUUUUCAUAGGAUUUUUUUAAUUCAUGCUUAGAUUAAUUCAUGGGUCAUCCCCUACUUUAUUAGGGAAAUUCCUUUAAAAGGUAGAGAAUAAGAAUCGAUUACUAAAAGGAUUCUAGAUUAGUUCAGUAUAGGUAGUCAUUUGAUUGAUCUAAGAUGAAAAAGAGUCAAAUUUCAUUUAUUUUUUGCAAUUUAGAUUCCGUGCUUCAUUUAGUGUUCAGACCAAAAAUGCAUGCAUCUCGCACUAAGUCAUAAAAUUCAAUAAAAAAUAGAGAAAGUUUCAAAAACAAAGUAAAAAGUAAAUGAAUUUAGUAGAAAAGUAUUCUAUCAGAUUCGAACCGAUGACUUAUGCCUUACCAUGCCAUUACUCUACCACUAACUUUAAAAGCCCUUUAUCGGAUUUGAACCGAUGACUUACGCCUUACCAUGGCAUUACUCUACCACUGAGUUAAAAGGGCUUUUUUUUUAAUUCAAAAAUGAGCCACUUUCAUUUCCCAUUCUGGGUCUACUGCAUAAUGUACAUAAGAUAUGUAGAUAUCCAUAUAUCUAUAUAAGUUUAUUCAUCGUGAGGUUCAAAAUAUUGAUAAAAUCAAUAAAAAUAAGAAAAUAUUUGCUAUUAUCUCUUAUAACUUGCAUAAAACAAAGUAGAGAUCCUUUUUUAUAUAAUAAAAUGCGUGAAGAGAAAGUUGACACAAUAAAAAAUAAUAAACCAUACCCUAUACAUACCUAACUCUUCUUAAUUCAGGGUUUUUCGUUUCCGAAGACUAGGAAAAUAGGCGGAUUCUGGAACCCUAAGGAUUCGAUGGUAUAUGGCUAUGGAAAAUAUAAGAUUUUUGAUCCUAGCGGGAAAAGGAACGGAACAGAUACCCAAUAUGAUUCUUGGGAGGAACAUUUCGUAAUGGUCUUGAUCCUCUAUGCUCUUUUUUAUGUGUUGCUAGUUCGAUUGCACUUUUUUGAUUCUUUUAAACAAAACAAGAAUCUACUAAACCAGAAUUGAAAUUGAGUGAGUGGAAAAAAGGGGUUUAUAGGGACAGUUCAGAUGCUAUUGGCAUGGUAAGAAGAGGUGUAUUUUACAGACCAUAGGGGUUAUCGAAAUCCUAAAGUAAAGGCCUGCAAUCGAAGUAGAAGUACCAACGGCUCACUGCCAUGAACCUUCUCCAUUUGAUUCACUAAGGGGAAAUUCACCUGCUUCUCGAAUGGGUAUCAUUGACAAAGGGUUGCGUUUGUAUCAUAAUCUACAUGUAGCGGGUAUAGUUUAGUGGUAAAAGUGUGAUUCGUUCUAUUAAUAACUGAAUUAAAAUGAUAUACUUAAGGCAUCCUUAAGUUUUUUUCUAUUCCGAUGAAAACUUUAGUUCUUAUAAAGGAUUUCAUCCUUUUCCUCUCAAUAGCGUAUUGAGGAACAAUAUACAUUCUCGUGAUUUGUAUAAUUGAAAUUGCAUCCAAAAUACAAAUAGGAUUAUGAGUACAGAGUCGCGAAGCAUAAUUUUACAUUGGAUUAAGUAUUCCAUAUAUUAAAAAUAUGAGUAAAGGAUCUAUGGAUGGAGAUACAAAAAAGUUUUUUCCAAUCGUAACUAAAUCACCUUUACCUUCAAAACGGGAAAAGGAAGCCAAAUAGCUAAAAGCGGUAGUUUUGGUUUACUAGAACCAUCAGCAUAUUGUUUAAGCUCGGUGGAAACCCAAUUCUUUUCCUCAAGGAUCCCUUGAAUGAAAUUAGGGAACGAAGUAAGUAGAUUAGAUGGAUUUAGAUCGAAUUUCUAUCUCCUUACUCUAUAAGGAUCAUCUAGAAAGCGGAGAGCUUUGGUUCUAUUCAAAUAGAAAAGCUGACAUAGAUGUUAAGUGGUGAGAAUAUCCAUAAAGGAGCCGAAUGAAAUGAAAAUUUCAUGUUCGGUUUUGAAUUAGAGACGUUAUAAAUAAUCAACCAACGUCGACUAUAACCCCUAGCCUUCCAAGCUAACGAUGCGGGUUCGAUUCCCGCUACCCGCUCCAUUCUGUAUAUGUAUAAAAGGAGUAUUCCAUUUGUCUAGACCUGUAUAAAAGGAGUAUUCUAUUUGUCUAGACAUAGUUGAGGCCCGUAUUUAACCUUUUCCGUUCACCAUUUUCUGCUACUGCAGAGCGGAGUAGAGCAGUUUGGUAGCUCACGAGGCUCAUAACCUUGAGGUCACGGGUUCGAUUCCCGUCUCCGCACUUAGCAGUCUCUAUAAAAGGACUAUUCCAUUUCUAUAUAUAUGGUACAGGGUUGGGUGGUAUCCAAUCCAAUUUUUUUAUUCAUUACUUCCUGGCCUUAGAGGGCAAAAUUGAGCAGUCUGCGAAGCCGCCUGCCUCCAUAAGAAGAACAGGCAAGGUUUCUCCCUACCCUGCAGAAAAGAAAAAUGAAAGAAACGCACAGUCUACCUCCCUUCCCUUUAAAAGCAGUUUGCCAGUUCUUUGUCUCAGUGAAUACCCCCCUGUUGGCGAGUUCUAUUUCCCUCUCCGGAGCCCUCCUUUUUUUGAGUGGGGUGAAAAGUAAGGGUAAUAAGGGAUAGGGUACUAGACUAACACCUAAUUAAUAUAUAAUUUAUUCUAAGUAGUUAAACAUUCAACUAGACUAAAUUUUUUCUCAUAGUACUUGACUAAAGUAAGCGGGCAAGCGGCGGGAAUCGAACCCGUAUCUUCUCCUUGGCAAGGAGAUGUUUUACCAUUGAACUACGCUCGCUACGGAAUAUAUUUUAUAGCGUAUAUCCGCUUGUGUCGACCGUCUAUGUCUGGGUCGACCGUUUCAUUUUCUAUUAUAUUAGAGUUUUCCUUUUUUUGAUUGUCUGUCAAUCAAUAUUCUAAUGGCAAUGCAAUUUCAUAAUACUGAAAGAGAAGAGGUAGCAAUUCGGAACGCAAAUUGCGUUUUAAUGUGUCUCACUAUUUGAAUUUUUUCGAAGAAAUGUCCUUUUUAUUUAUUUUGUAUCGGGUUACUCAAUACUAAACAAAUUUAUGAAAUGAGAGAAUUCAGAAUAGCUACGAGAAAGACUAGACCAAUCCAUAAUGAUGUAUCGGAAAAAACAACGUUUUUAUUAUUUGACCAACCAUCAGGAGAAGCAAAUACAAGGGGUACACUAAUUACUAAGACUGAGGAAGUCGCAAUUAAUGCAAAAACAGCUAAUUGGAAAGCAAUAGUCAUAUUUCUAAUCCUCAAGCUAUCAUCAAAUAAAGUUGACUACAUAUUUGAUCCCUCACUUAACCUAAAUUGUAAAAAAUACAAGAAGUAGAAGGGGUUUAAUCAUGAAUCCAUUGAUUCUUCUCUUUAAUUAAUAAUUAAAACUUAUUACUUACCGCUUUUAUUUGGAUAUGGGGAUUAGGGUAGGGGAUUUAGUCUUUAUUUCAAAAGCGGGUAUAGCGGAUCUUCUAUCCGUGUAUACAGUAUACAGAAAUAUAUCGAAAAAGGAUUUGCAUCUGAGAUGUUUCUAGAGGUUAGUAGAUCCUUUUAUUUUUAUAUGGCUGUGUUCUAUUUCUAGGAUUAAAGAAAAAGGGAGUAAUCGAAGAAUUAGAGAAAGAUCUACAAAAAGAAAUUAACUCUGUAAACCAGAGAAUUAAUAUUUCUAUCGAAAAAGUUAAAGAGCCUUAUAGACAACCUAACAUUCUUGCAGAAUAUAUAGCUUUUCAAUUAAAAAAUCGAGUUUCAUUCCGAAAGGCAAUAAAAAAAGCCAUUGAAUUAACUAAAAAAGCAGAUAUAAGGGGAGUCAAAGUAAAAAUAGCGGGUCGUCUCGGAGGAAAAGAAAUUGCACGUGCGGAAUGCAUCAUAAAGGGUAGACUUCCUCUCCAAACAAUUCGCGCUAAAAUUGAUUAUUGUUGCUAUCCAAUUCGAACUAUCUAUGGAGUAUUAGGUGUAAAAAUUUGGAUAUUCGUAGAUGAAGAAUAACUAAUCUUGUCUUCGCAUUCUGUGCAGUGAUAGAAUAAAAAAUGACAAGAGCCUGUUUUCCUGAAAUCCCUAAAAGAAAGAAGAAAUUAUACCUCUUUCUAUAAGAUUUAAUGAAAAUUGAUAAAUCAUUUAAUAUAAUUGCUAUGCUUAGUGUGUGACUCGUUAUUUUUUCUUUAAAAAAAUAAAAAAAUUUAGUAAUUAUAGAAAAUUAACUAAUAACCAACCUAUUGCUUCGUAUUGUCGAGAUCCUAACUAAGAAGCAGUCACUAUCUGAAUAAAUAUCUCUAUCAUAAAUGAGUAGAUCUAUCAUAUAGUUGUAGCAACUGCAAUUUUUUCUCUAAAAAAGAAACGAGAUUCUAGGUUCUGAAGCAAAACUAAAGGGAUGUAGAUAAAGGGAAAGAUGAUAGAAAGAAGAAUAAGUAAGAUAUAGGAUUCCAAUAUGUAUGGUCUAUGAAUUGCAUCAAAAAAGGCAAUGUGAUAAAGCAUCAAUAUAAUAUAAUAAAAAUAACAGAGAAUUAGAAAUCGUAACUUGAAACAAGAACUACAAAUUUAAAGCAAUAAUUAAAGAGCCACCCGGGUUAAUAAAACUGAGAAAAUUAACUCGAAAAGACAUUUUUUUGAAGCUCCGUUGCGGGAUUCAGACCUAACCAUUCAAGGAGAAGCAGUGGGAACGACACAACCUAUGACUCCAUAGGAUUUUAUUGCAAAGAAUCCAAAAACCUCAUUGGACGGGAUGGCGGAACAAACCCCAAAAAUUGUCUUAUUUGGUAAGGUUAUAAAUUACCAAAUAAGACAGGAAUAGAGUAAAUAUUCGCCUGCGAAAUCCUUAUUGAAUUAGAAUACUUUACCGCAAUUCAAUAAUUCAAUAAAUUCAAUAAAAGUAAAAAGAAAGAUAUUUUUUUAAGAAGGAUUACGUUAAAAAUAGAAUAUAGAUAAAUAGACACACACAUCUAGAUAUAUUCUAGAUCUUCUUUCUUGACUAUAUAUUUUUCUAUUUGAACAAAAUUAACUAUGAAAAAUAAAAAAAAACUAACUUUUUCUAUUACCUAUUAAUGUGUAUCUAUCCAUAAUAUUUUUGAAUAUUAUGGAAUUAGAGCAAUUUGCACGCUUUCUCAUUUAAUUCGCGAGGAGCUGGAUGAGAAGAAACUCUCAUGUCCAGUUUUGCAGUAGAGAUGGAACUACGAAAGAACCAUCGACUAUAACCCCAAAAGAACCAAAUUUCGCAAACAACAUAGAGGAAGAAUGAAAGGAAAAUCCUGCCGAGGCAAUCGUAUUUGUUUUGGUAGAUAUGCUCUUCAAGCACUUGAACCCACUUGGAUCACGGCGAGACAGAUAGAAGCGGGACGAAGAGCAAUAACACGAUAUGCACGUCGUGGUGGAAAAAUAUGGGUACGUAUAUUUCCCGACAAACCAGUUACACUAAGACCCACAGAAACACGUAUGGGCUCGGGAAAGGGGUCCCCCGAAUAUUGGGUAGCUGUUGUUAAACCAGGUCGUAUACUUUAUGAAAUGGGUGGAGUAUCCGAAACUGUAGCUAGAGCAGCUAUCUCCAUAGCUGCCAGUAAAAUGCCCAUACGAAGUCAAUUUAUUCGAUUAGAGAUAUAGAACCCCCAAAACGGGUUUUUCUUUCUGGAAAGACAAUAUUUCUUUCAUCCUUUUGCAUCGAAAUAAAAAAUUGAAAUCCAAAUAAUAUGAUUCAACCUCAGACCCUUUUAAAUGUAGCAGAUAAUAGUGGAGCUCGAAAAUUGAUGUGUAUUCGAGUCAUAGGAACUGCUGGUAAUCAGCGAUAUGCUCGUAUUGGUGAUGUUAUUGUUGCUGUAAUCAAAGACGCAGUGCCCCAAAUGCCUCUAGAAAGAUCCGAAGUAAUUCGAGCUGUAAUUGUACGUACAUGUAAAGAGUUCAAAUGUGAAGACGGUAUAAUAAUCCGCUAUGAUGACAAUGCAGCGGUUAUAAUUGAUCAAAAAGGAAAUCCAAAAGGAACUCGAGUUUUUGGGGCGAUCACCGAGGAAUUGAGAGAAUUGAAUUUUACCAAAAUAGUUUCAUUAGCUCCUGAAGUAUUAUAAAUACUAGUAGGCGAAAUUUAGAUCAAAGAGUGAAUUAGUAGAUUGUGUUUCAUGUAUAUGUUUUAAAAUCUAAAAUGAAAAGAAAAAAAGAAAACAUGUUGAUUAUAGAAAAAUUGGGAGGAACCUAGAAUUAGAAUCUUAUGGGCAAAGACACUAUUGCUGAUUUACUAACCUCUAUAAGAAACGCGGACAUGAAUAAAAAAGCAACAGUUCGAGUAGUAUCUACAAAUAUUACUGAAAACAUUGUAAAAAUACUUCUACGAGAGGGUUUUAUUGAAAGUGUUCGGAAACAUCAGGAACGUAACAGAUAUUUCUUGGUUUUAACUUUGCGACAUCAAAAGAGAAAGACUAGAAAAGGAAUAUAUAGAACAAGAACUUUUUUAAAGCGUAUCAGCCGACCCGGCUUACGAAUUUAUACCAACUAUCAAGGAAUUCCUAAAGUUUUGGGUGGAAUGGGAAUUGCUAUUCUUUCUACUUCUCGAGGGAUAAUGACAGAUCGAGAGGCUCGACUAAACAGAAUUGGGGGAGAAGUCUUAUGUUAUAUAUGGUAAUCGCCUUGCCUAUAGUGCCCGAAUUCUCUCUCGAACUUCCUAUUAUUCAAACAAAAAGAAAAAAUAGCAGAAAAAAAAAUGACAGAAAAAAAAUAGGUGAGAAAAGAAAAACCCGAGAGAAGCAAAAGUAACUUUCGAAAGUUUAGUUACGGAAGCCCUACCCAAUGGAAUGUUCCGCGUUCGUCUAGAGAAUGACACCAUCAUCCUGGGCUAUAUUUCAGGAAAGAUUCGGUCUAGUUCUAUACGAAUACUGAUGGGGGAUAGGGUCAAAAUUGAAGUAAGUCGUUAUGAUUCAAGCAAGGGACGUAUCAUUUAUAGACUUCCCCAUAAGGAUUCGAAGCGUAUCGAAGACUCGAAGGAUAGCGAAGAUUUGAAGGAUAGCGAAGAUUUGAAGGAUUAGGUUUUUCUUUUUUCUAGAAUAAUAAAUGCAAAGUUCAAAAAUUACAGCGAAGAGACUUAUUUUUUCCAAAAGAUUAGAUUCAUGGUUUAAGAAAGGAUACGGAAAUAUGAAAAUAAGAGCUUCCGUUCGUAAAAUUUGUACAAAAUGUCGACUGAUUCGUAGGCGUGGCCGAAUUAGAGUCAUUUGCUCCAACCCGAAACAUAAACAAAGACAAGGAUAAUCUUUCGAAAAAGCACUUUACUUUCUAAAAAGUAAAAAAAAAGAAUACCUACGGGAAUGUUUAAAUUAAAAAUAAAAUAAUUUGAAAUAAUUAAAGUAAAGGGUAUAUUUUACCCUGAAACGGAUAUCUUUGUAUCUUUUAUUUAUUUAUUUUUACUCAUAUUUAUGAGAUUUAUGAGAUAAUAAAAUAUGGCAAAAGCUGUACCAAAAAUAGGUUCACGUAAGAGAGUGCGUAUUGGUUUACGUAGGAAUGCACGUUUUAGUUUACGGAAGAGUGCACGUAGAAUAACAAAAGGGGUUAUUCAUGUUCAAGCUAGUUUCAACAAUACCAUUAUAACUGUUACAGACCCACAAGGUCGAGUGGUUUUUUGGUCCUCUGCGGGUACUUGUGGAUUCAAAAGCUCAAGAAAAGCAUCACCCUAUGCUGGUCAAAGAACAGCAGUCGAUGCUAUUCAUACAGUAGGUUUACAACGAGCAGAAGUUAUGGUAAAGGGCGCUGGUAGUGGAAGAGAUGCCGCAUUACGAGCCAUUGCUAGAAGUGGUGUGCGCUUAAGUUGUAUACGCGAUGUAACACCUAUGCCGCAUAAUGGAUGUCGACCGCCUAAAAAAGGCGUCUGUAAAAGAAUUAACCCGCUUUCAAGAGAAAUAAACGAUUCAAUGAUCAAAUAAUAAUACUAGUCUAUUAUGGUUCGAGAGGAGGUAGCAGGAUCCACUCAAACAUUACAGUGGAAGUGUGUUGAAGAGUAGAUAGUAAGCGUCUUUAUUAUGGUCGUUUCAUUCUGUCCCCGCUUAUAAAAGGUCAAGCGGAUACCGUCGGUAUUGCCUUGCGAAGAGCUUUACUUGGAGAAAUAGAAGGAACAUGUAUCACACGUGCAAAAUUUGGAAGCGUGCCACACGAAUAUUCUACAAUAGCGGGUAUUGAAGAAUCCGUACAAGAAAUUUUAGUAAAUUUGAAAGAAAUUGUAUUGAGAAGUAAUCUCUAUGGAGUUAGAGACGCAUCCAUUUGCGUCAAAGGUCCCAAAUGCAUAACUGCUCAAGAUAUCAUCUUACCACCUUCCAUAGAAGUCAUUGAUACGGCACAGCCUAUAGCUAACUUGACCGAGCCCAUUGAUUUCUGUAUUCAGUUACAGAUCAAGAGAGAUCGUGGAUAUCAGACGGAACUUAGAAAGAACUAUCAAGAUGGAAGUUAUCCUAUAGAUGUUGUAUCCAUGCCUGUUCGAAAUGUGAAUUAUAGUAUUUUUUCUUGUGGGAAUGGAAAUGAAAAACACGAGAUACUUUUUCUCGAAAUAUGGACUAAUGGAAGUUUAACCCCUAAGGAAGCGCUUUAUGAGGCUUCUCGUAAUUUGAUUGAUUUAUCAUAAUAAAAUGGAUUUUAGGUAUCUAGGGAAAAUUCACUUCGAAGUAACUAUUUCCUAGAUACCUAUGCACGGUACCUCACGGUUGAAUGAAUCAACCUGAAAAAUACCUAAAAAAGGCCUAAAGUUAAGGAUUUAUCAAUGGGUAAUGUUGCUCCAAUACCUAACCAAAGAGCUACUGCAGUACCGAUUAAAAAAACGGUCGUAGCUACCGGGCGACGAAAUGGAUUUUGGAAUUUGUUGACAUUUUCUAGAAAAGGUACUGUCAAUAAGCCUGUUGGCACAGAAACCAUUAAGAGAACGCCCAAUAACUUAUUGGGUACCAUACGGAGUAUUUGAAACACGGGAAAGAAGUACCACUCGGGUAAUAUUUCCAAAGGAGUUGCAAACGGAUCCGCGGGUUCACCAAUCAUUGAUGGCUCGAGAACAGCUAAACCUACAUUACAUGCAAUAGUACCUAGAAUUACUACUGGAAAAAUAUAUAAAAGAUCGUUGGGCCACGCGGGUUCGCCGUAAUAAUUAUGUCCCAUCCCUUUAGCUAAUUUUGCUCUUAAUACAGGAUCAUUUAAGUCUGGUUUCUUUGUUAUUGGGAUAGGUGAACUCUUUAGGAUCCAUCCCCCAAAGGAACCGGACAUGAGAAUUUAUCAUCAUCCGGCUCGAGCAAUAAAGAAAGAAAUAAGACCGCGGAAGAUCCAUAAUAAUAAUAGAAUAAGGUAUAUAAUUACUCAAUGACUCUAGGCAAGAAAAGCUUUAUCAGAUUAUCUUUUCCGAAGUUGCACCUACAACUACUCAUUGAAAAUAAUCCUAUUCUUAUGGGUAAAUGCUCAAUAUCCAAGUGGGCUUACAAAUUUGAUCAUGAUCAAUUGCUUUGUGGAUUGUCUCAUGUCUCUUGAUUAGUUGGUCUUUAUCCCCUCACUAUCGCAAGUUUCUUACGCCCAAACAAAGUAUUUACUUGUUACUAAUAAAAAAAUCAAAAAGUUUAGCCUAUGCUCUUCCUUAGAUCCCUUCUUUUACUCCGAUAGUAUUGCGAAUCGCAAUCGAUGCAAAGAAAAUGAAUGCAUUUCCAUACCAUAAUAAAAAAAGGUAAGUGUAAUAAAUAGAGAAUUGGAUCAUGUCACAUGACUUAUUCCAUUUCUACUCUAUGGGACCUUACGGAGCCUUUUCAUGGAUGACAUGGUUGGGGUAUGAUCAUAGAAAAUAUUCUCCUCAAGUGAACCAGCCUAUCCUUCCUAGGUAGGGGACUUACGUGUUGAUUGGAUGCGGAGACACCUUUGGUUGUGAAUUCUAAUGUGGCAGAUCCAAUUCUUUAUCUGCAUGGCCAAAUCUAUAAUUCAAGUCACACACUCCCAUAAUCCGCCUUUUUUUCUUUUGUAAAAUUAACUUCAACUAUUUGUAUUACAUCAAAAUACUUCGGAGUUGAAGAGAAGUAUCCAAAUGACAUGUGUUAUUUUACAAUAACCCAUGUUUGUAGCAAUGAAAUACCACAACCUACCCAAUAUUAUAUAUGAGAAUUCUAAUUCUCUAUGAUAUGCCUUCCCUAUAAAGGACCCGAAAUACCUUGCUUACGUAUCAUUGGAAAGUGCAUUAACAUAAAUACGGCAGUAAGCAGAGGAAGUACAAAGGUAUGUAAACUAUAAAAACGAGUCAAAGUGGAUUGGCCCACACUAGCACUUCCACAUAAUAACUCCACUAGAGGCGAUCCUAUUACCGGAAUCGCAUCAGGUACACCUGUCACAAUUUUGACUGCCCAAUAACCAAUUUGAUCCCAAGGCAAAGAAUAACCCGUUACACCAAACGAUGCAGUCAAAACAGCCAAAACCACACCUGUGACCCAAGUUAAUUCGCGGGGUUUUUUAAAUCCACCUGUGAGAUACACACGAAAUACAUGUAGGAUCAUCAUUAGAACCAUCAUACUUGCUGACCAUCGAUGAACUGAUCGGAUUAACCAACCAAAGUUGGCCUCGGUCAUUAUGUAUUGAACCGAGGAAAAAGCCUCUGUAACAGUUGGGCGAUAGUAAAAAGUCAUAGCAAAUCCGACGCUGUAACAUAGUUGAGGUUGAAUCUAAAGGAUCUACUGCUGGAUAAAUACCCUUGGAAGCUAAUCCUUUGGAAAGUACGGUAGUAGCAUCCAAAUGGGCAAAUGUUGUGGCAGGAGCAGGGUCAGUCAAAUCGUCCGCAGGUACAUAAACCGCUUGGAUCGAAGUUAUAGAUCCCUUUUUAGUAGAAGCAAUUAUUUCUUGCAAAGAACCCAUUUCUGUACUAAGAGUAGGUUGAUAACCCACCGCGGAGGGCAUUCUCCCUAAUAAAGUGGAUACCUCCGAUCCUGCUUGAACAAAACGAAAGAUAUUAUCGAUGAAUAAAAGCACGUCUUGCUUAUUAACAUCUCGGAAAUAUUCCGCCAUAGUUCGGGCAGUUAAACCAACUCUCAUACGAGCUCCCGGUGGUUCAUUCAUUUGGCCAUAGACUAGAGCUACCUUUGAUUCCUCAAUAUUUUUUUCAUUAAUUACUCCGGAUUCCCUCAUUUCCAUACAAAGAUCAUUUCCUUCGCGAGUCCGUUCCCCUACUCCACCAAAUAUGGAUACGCCCCCAUGAGCUUUAGCAAUGUUGUUGAUUAAUUCCAUGAUGAGUACUGUUUUACCUACUCCAGCCCCCCCAAAUAGUCCUAUUUUUCUUCCACGUCGAUAAGGAGCUAAAAGAUCGACGACCUUAAUACCUGUUUCAAAGAUGGAUAAUUUCGUAUCUAACUCGAUAAAGGCAGGCGCAGAUCUAUGAAUAGGGAACGUUGCACUACUAUCUACAGGACCCAUUGUCAACAGGCUCCCCAAGAACGUUGAAAAUUCGCCCGAGAGUAGCUCCGCCGACCGGAACACUGAGAGGAGCUCCUGUGUCAAUCACUUCCAUUCCUCUCAUCAACCCAUCUGUAGCACUCAUAGCUACAGCUCUAACUCGAUUAUUUCCUAAUAAUUGUUGUACCUCACAAGUCACAUUAAUUUGCUUAUCGGCAGUGUCUCUACUCUUGACUACCAAAGCGUUAUAAAUAUAAGGUAACUUACCGGGGGGGAAAGUGACGUCCAGCACGGGUCCAAUAAUUUGAUCGAUACGGCCUGUACUUUUUUCUUCAAUUGGGGAAACCCCGGGACGAGAAGUAGUAGGAUUGGUUCUCAUAAUUAUCACAUAAUAAAAAAAAAGGAAUUUGUCGAAAAAAAAAUUUCUUGUUGAAUAAUACCAAAUCCAAAAAAAUAUCCAAAAAUCCAAAAGUAAAAAGGAAAUCAAUUAGUUAAUUCAAUAAGAGAAAAAAGGGGAACAGGACUUGAUUUCGUUGCCCAAGCGAAUCCCUUUCAACCCUUUACUCAUGGAAUGAGGCCGUUGGAAAGUUCAAUCAAUCUUUUUUUCAUAAGAUAGAUUUUUCCUUUUGUGGAGGAUCUGUGCCUACUCUACUUUCCUAUCUAGGACUUCGCUAUACAAAAUAUAUACUACUGUGAAGCAUAGAUUGCUGUCAACAGAAAAUUUUCUUAGUAUUUAGUUAGGUAUUUCUUUUCAAAAUAAGAAAGGGGCCCUUUAAUAAUUUGUAAAAAAAAAAGGUUAAGGAUUGAUUUGGGUUGCGCUAUAUCUAUCAAAGAGUAUACAAUAAUGAUGGAUUUGUUAAAUCAAAUCCUUGGUUUAAUAACGAACGGUGUUAACUUACCAUAACAACAACUCAAUUCCUAUCGAAUUCCUAUAGGAUAGAACAUACACAGGGUGUACGCAUUAUAUAUGAAUGAAAAAUAUUAAUUAACUUAAGCAUGCCCUCAAUUUUCUGUAAUGAGUUGCUAUUAAUUGAAUAUCUCUUUUUUUUAUGAGAUUUUUGCUAAAGUUUCAUUUACGCCUAAUUCACAUCGAGUAGACCUUGUUAUUGUGAGAAUUCUUAAUUCAAGAGUUGUAAGGAGGGACUUAUGUCACCACAAACAGAAACUAAAGCAAGUGUUGGAUUUAAAGCUGGUGUUAAAGAUUAUAGAUUGACUUACUACACCCCGGAGUAUGAAACCAAGGAUACUGAUAUCUUGGCAGCAUUCUGAGUAUCUCCUCAACCUGGGGUUCCGCCCGAAGAAGCAGGGGCUGCAGUAGCUGCCGAAUCUUCUACCGGUACAUGGACAACUGUUUGGACUGAUGGACUUACUAGUCUUGAUCGUUACAAAGGACGAUGCUAUCACAUCGAGCCUGUUCCUGGGGAAGACAGUCAAUGGAUCUGUUAUGUAGCUUAUCCAUUAGAUCUAUUUGAAGAGGGUUCCGUUACUAACAUGUUUACUUCCAUUGUAGGUAACGUAUUUGGUUUCAAAGCCCUACGUGCUCUACGUCUGGAGGAUCUACGAAUUCCCCCGACUUAUUCAAAAACUUUCCAAGGCCCGCCUCAUGGUAUCCAAGUGGAAAGAGAUAAGUUGAACAAGUAUGGUCGUCCUUUAUUGGGAUGUACUAUUAAGCCAAAAUUGGGAUUAUCUGCAAAACAUUACGGUAGAGCGUGUUAUGAGUGUCUAUGUGGUGGACUUGAUUUUACCAAAGAUGAUGAAAACGUAAAAUCACAACCAUUUAUGCGCUGGAGAGAUCGUUUUGUCUUUUGUGCCGAAGCUAUUUAUAAAUCACAGGCGGAAACCGGUGAAAUCAAGGGGCAUUACUUGAAUGCAACUGCGGGUACAUGUGAAGAAAUGAUGAAGAGAGCUGUUUUUGCGAGAGAAUUAGGUGUUCCUAUUGUAAUGCAUGACUACUUAACUGGGGGAUUCACCGCAAAUACUACUUUGGCUCAUUAUUGCCGCGACAAUGGCUUACUUCUUCACAUUCACCGUGCAAUGCAUGCAGUUAUUGAUAGACAGAAAAAUCAUGGUAUGCAUUUCCGUGUAUUAGCUAAAGCAUUGCGUAUGUCUGGGGGAGAUCAUAUCCACGCCGGUACAGUAGUAGGUAAGUUAGAAGGGGAACGCGAAAUCACUUUAGGUUUUGUUGAUUUAUUGCGCGACGAUUUUAUUGAAAAAGAUCGUGCUCGCGGUAUCUUUUUCACUCGGGACUGGGUAUCCAUGCCAGGUGUUAUACCAGUAGCUUCAGGUGGUAUUCAUGUUUGGCAUAUGCCAGCUCUGACCGAAAUCUUUGGGGAUGAUUCUGUAUUACAAUUUGGUGGAGGAACUUUAGGACAUCCUUGGGGAAAUGCACUUGGUGCAGCAGCUAAUCGAGUGGCUUUAGAAGCCUGUGUACAAGCUCGUAACGAAGGGCGCGAUCUUGCUCGUGAAGGUAAUGAAAUUAUCCGAGCAGCUUGCAAAUGGAGUCCUGAACUAGCCGCAGCUUGUGAAGUAUGGAAGGCGAUCAAAUUCGAGUUCGCGCCGGUAGAUACUAUCGAUUAAUAGAUAAAACUAAAUAUGAAGAAGGUCUAAAUAAAAAGAGAAAAAAUAAGUUACGAAAUGCAGUGAUUCUUCUUUAUUCUUCUAAUUGACUGCAAUUAAACUCGGCUCAAUCUUUUUUUUUU
rnacentral:lncRNA from 1 species